CGGCAGCACGGACUUCGGUCUGGUGGCGAGUGGCGAACGGGUGAGUAAUGUAUCGGAACGUGCCCAGUAGCGGGGGAUAACUACGCGAAAGCGUAGCUAAUACCGCAUACGCCCUACGGGGGAAAGCAGGGGAUCGCAAGACCUUGCACUAUUGGAGCGGCCGAUAUCGGAUUAGCUAGUUGGUGGGGUAACGGCUCACCAAGGCGACGAUCCGUAGCUGGUUUGAGAGGACGACCAGCCACACUGGGACUGAGACACGGCCCAGACUCCUACGGGAGGCAGCAGUGGGGAAUUUUGGACAAUGGGGGAAACCCUGAUCCAGCCAUCCCGCGUGUGCGAUGAAGGCCUUCGGGUUGUAAAGCACUUUUGGCAGGAAAGAAACGUCGCGGGUUAAUACCCCGCGGAACUGACGGUACCUGCAGAAUAAGCACCGGCUAACUACGUGCCAGCAGCCGCGGUAAUACGUAGGGUGCAAGCGUUAAUCGGAAUUACUGGGCGUAAAGCGUGCGCAGGCGGUUCGGAAAGAAAGAUGUGAAAUCCCAGAGCUUAACUUUGGAACUGCAUUUUUAACUACCGGGCUAGAGUGUGUCAGAGGGAGGUGGAAUUCCGCGUGUAGCAGUGAAAUGCGUAGAUAUGCGGAGGAACACCGAUGGCGAAGGCAGCCUCCUGGGAUAACACUGACGCUCAUGCACGAAAGCGUGGGGGAGCAAACAGGAUUAGAUACCCUGGUAGUCCACGCCCUAAACGAUGUCAACUAGCUGUUGGGGGUCUUCGGGCCUUGGUAGCGCAGCUAACGCGUGAAGUUGACCGCCUGGGGAGUACGGUCGCAAGAUUAAAACUCAAAGGAAUUUGACGGGGACCCGCACAAGCGGUGAUGAUGUGGAUUAAUUCGAUGCAACGCGAAAACCUUACCUACCCUUGA
rnacentral:rRNA from 1 species